GACGAACGCUGGCGGCGUGCCUAAUACAUGCAAGUAGAACGCUGAAGAGAGGAGCUUGCUCUUCUUGGAUGAGUUGCGAACGGGUGAGUAACGCGUAGGUAACCUGCCUUGUAGCGGGGGAUAACUAUUGGAAACGAUAGCUAAUACCGCAUAACAAUGGAUGACACAUGUCAUUUAUUUGAAAGGGGCAAUUGCUCCACUACAAGGUGGACCUGCGUUGUAUUAGCUAGUAGGUGAGGUAAUGGCUCACCUAGGCGACGAUACAUAGCCGACCUGAGAGGGUGAUCGGCCACACUGGGACUGAGACACGGCCCAGACUCCUACGGGAGGCAGCAGUAGGGAAUCGUCGGCAAUGGGGGCAACCCUGACCGAGAAACGCCGCGUGAGUGAAGAAGGUUUUCGGAUCGUAAAGCUCGGUUGUAAGUCAAGAACGGGUGUGAGAGUGGAAAGUUCACACUGUGACGGUAGCUUACCAGAAAGGGACGGCUAACUACGUG
rnacentral:rRNA from 1 species